AGAUUAAGUUAAUAAGGGCGCACGGUGGAUGCCUUGGCACUAGGAGCCGACGAAGGACGGAACGAACACCGAUAUGCUCCGGGGAGCUGUAAGCAAGCAUAGAUCCGGAGAUUUCCGAAUGGGGGAACCCACUGCCAGUAAUGGGGCAGUAUCCUAUACUGAAUCCAUAGGUAUAGGAAGGCAGACCCGGGGAACUGAAACAUCUUAGUACCCGGAGGAAGAGAAAGAAAAAUCGAUUCCCCAAGUAGCGGCGAGCGAAACGGGAAGAGCCCAAACCAGAAGGCUUGCCUUCUGGGGUUGUAGGACACUCUAUACGGAGUUACAAAGGAAUGUGGUAGAUGAAGCGGUCUGGAAAGGCCCGCCAAAGAAGGUAACAGCCCUGUAAUUGACACUUCAUUCCCUCCAGAGUGGAUCCUGAGUACGGCGGGACACGAGGAAUCCCGUCGGAAUCCGGGAGGACCAUCUCCCAAGGCUAAAUACUCCCUAGUGACCGAUAGUGAACCAGUACCGUGAGGGAAAGGUGAAAAGCACCCCGGGAGGGGAGUGAAAUAGAUCCUGAAACCGUGUGCCUACAAGUAGUCAGAGCACUAUAUGUGUGAUGGCGUGCCUUUUGUAGAAUGAACCGGCGAGUUGCGAUUUCAUGCAAGGUUAAGCUGAAGAGGCGGAGCCGCAGCGAAAGCGAGUCUGAAUAGGGCGAAAGAGUAUGAGGUCGCAGACCCGAAACCAGG
rnacentral:rRNA from 1 species